ACUUUGUGUUUGUUCGGCACUUAGCUGUUGUUGGCACUUACUUAUGUUGUUCCCUCCUAACUAGAUCCUUGCUUGUGUUGUACGAACUCUCAGAUGUGCGUCGCUUUGGACAAAAGCGUCUGCUAAAUGAAAUUGUA